UAAAAAUCAUAUAAUGAUUGCUAUCAAAGUAAAUUUAUAGUAAUACUUCUCAGCCAAAACUAUAAGUUACAGAUCAAUUAAGAAUCAAUUAUGCUACCCAAAAGCAUCAAUAUCAAAAUAACAGCCAAUCGUAAGAUAGAAAAAAUUAAAUCAAAAUCUUGAAAUUAAAAGCAAAUCAAGUUACAUCAAUACCCUAACUAAGGAAUUUAGCCACUGAUAAUAAUAAAAACAAAAUCAAAACUCAUCAAAUUAAAAACCAAGCAUCAUCUCUCAAAAUGAGAAUAUAAUAAAAUUAAAGAUAAAGAAAUA
rnacentral:misc_RNA from 1 species